AACGCACCUUGCACCCUUUGGUAUUCCGAAGGGUACGCCUGUUUGAGUGUCGUGAAUUCCUCCUCCCACUCCAUCUUUUGCGGAUGCGAGCGGUGGGGGACUUUGGGAGCCUUUGCGGAUUCCGAAGGGACCCGCUCUCCUUGAAUGCAUUAGCGAAGCCCGUCUUUGGGCCUCGGUGUGAUAGACAUCUACGCCGGGUCCAUCGAUGAAGGAUCGCUUCCAACCCGUCCCGCGAGGGACAGCGUCUUCGAACUUGACCUCAGAUCAGGUGGGACUACCCGCUGAACUUAA
rnacentral:misc_RNA from 2 species